CUAAAAAUACGGAAGUUGAUCGACUAUUCUUAUUGUUUGAGUUCUAGAAUCUCCUAGACUAUAUUUCCGAAGUGAUUUUGCCACAUGUCAUCUCUACAAUCAAUUUCACAAAACAAAUAUGACAUGGCUACUGAAAUUGAUGACAUGGCUUCCGAAAAAAUAUGACAUAGAUAAUUUUAUUAAAUGUUGAUUUAUAUUUUUGGCAAACUUAUUAGAAUAUGUUAAUAAUUCAUAUAUUACAUUU
rnacentral:lncRNA from 1 species